rnacentral:rRNA from 1 species
AGGGAAUAUUGGACAAUGGGCGAAAGCCUGAUCCAGCAAUGCCGCGUGAGUGAUGAAGGCCUUAGGGUUGUAAAGCUCUUUUACCCGAGAUGAUAAUGACAGUAUCGGGAGAAUAAGCUCCGGCUAACUCCGUGCCAGCAGCCGCGGUAAUACGGAGGGAGCUAGCGUUGUUCGGAAUUACUGGGCGUAAAGCGCACGUAGGCGGCGAUCUAAGUCAGAGGUGAAAGCCUGGAGCUCAACUCCAGAACUGCCUUUGAGACUGGAUUGCUAGAAUCCGGGAGAGGUGAGUGGAAUUCCGAGUGUAGAGGUGAAAUUCGUAGAUAUUCGGAAGAACACCAGUGGCGAAGGCGGCUCACUGGACCGGCAUUGACGCUGAGGUGCGAAAGCGUGGGGAGCAAAC